GUCGACGUGCCGGAGUGGUUAUCGGUAAUGAUUAGAAAUCAUGUGGGCUCUGCCCGCGCAGGUUCCAAUCCUGCCGUCCACG
rnacentral:tRNA from 1 species